CCUACGGGAGGCAGCAGUAGGGAAUCUUCCACAAUGGGCGAAAGCCUGAUGGAGCAACGCCGCGUGGGUGAAGAAGGUCUUCGGAUCGUAAAACCCUGUUGUUAGAGAAGAAAGUGCGUGAGAGUAACUGUUCACGUUUCGACGGUAUCUAACCAGAAAGCCACGGCUAACUACGUGCCAGCAGCCGCGGUAAUACGUAGGUUGCAAGCGUUAUCCGGAUUUAUUGGGCGUAAAGGGAACGAAGGCGGUCUUUUAAGUCUGAUGUGAAAGCCUUCGGCUUAACCGGAGUAGUGCAUUGGAAACUGGGAGACUGGAGUGCAGAAGAGGAGAGUGGAACUCCAUGUGUAGCGGUGAAAUGCGUAGAUAUAUGGAAGAACACCAGUGGCGAAAGCGGCUCUCUGGUCUGUAACUGACGCUGAGGUUCGAAAGCGUGGGUAGCAAACAGGAUUAGAUACCCCUGUAGUC
rnacentral:rRNA from 1 species